CAUAAUAAAAUAAUGAACGAUCACACGUUUGAAAAAAAGUGUAACUAGAUGAAAGGAAGAUUUGUUUAUUUUCUUUUUAAAUAAUUAGACGUAAAUGUAUAAAUAAGAAAAGAUAUAUACCUGUCUUAUCCUCAGGUAUAACUCGGUAAAAUCUUCUUAUAGGUUGCUAUUUCUUCAUUUCGAAGUCCUUUUUUAUGCGAAAUACUCGAACGAAGAAUGUUGAAAGCAUUGGAUAUAUCUCAAGGUGGAAGCCGAUAAGUAAUUUCUAAACAGAAACGACUACCCAAGAAGCUUCUUUUUUCAACCAACGACGGAUAGAGCUUCUGUACUUUGUACUUUAUCUUGAGAAAGUCAAGCUGACUUGUAAUCCCGUAAUCACGAAUAUAUCCUUUAACUCGAGGAACGUCUUAUCGCAACGAAAAAGAG